rnacentral:lncRNA from 1 species
CGCUGCCGGCCAGGGCCCGCCCUGCCCCAUAGGAAGGGACCCUGGGGGCGGGGCUGCCUCGGCUUCGCCCCCAGGAAACCACGUGGCCUGGGGCGGCCCGACGCCGGCUGCGCUGGAUCCACGCCGAAAGAUGGGCGCCCGAGCCGGGAGGGAAGCCUGGGGAGGACACCUGGGGGGCACGGCCCUGACCACGCUCAGACCCAAGAGGGCGGGGAGGGGCGCAGGGCGCGUGGGGGGCGCGGGCGCACUUACUCGAGCUCCUUGAAGCGCUCGCGGCCCGCCGCCACGUACUUGCCGCCCGCCUGCAGCGCGUCCAGCCCCAGCACCCGGUGCCCACGCGUGGGCGUGAAGAGGCGGCGCACGCCGAACGGGACGUCCACCUGCUCCGUGAGCUGCUCCAGCAGCGCCUCGAAGGUUGAAUUUGACCGGUUCAGCCCCAGUGUCUUCCAGGACUCCUGGCCCAGAGUGGGGAAUUUGAGCUUUUCCACCAGAGGAGGAGGUGUGCAGAGCCACUGGGAGGCCGUGAGGAACCGCGCUAUAGCCGCUGGUGUGCGGUGUCAGGCGCGUGCCAUUCAGAACGCAUCCUCAUUGGGGAAUGAUUCAAAGGGAGAGGGGGUCUUUGGAAGAAUCGUUCCUACUCUGGGUAAAGAUAGGCCAGUCCCCUUGAGUGAUUCUAGACAGUCAGUAGGCUACAUGUUACGGCUGGAAGUCCACACCGAAGGUACAGAUAUUGAUAUUAUGAGUAUUAAUAUCUUAUAAUGUUCAAAAAAAGUAGUUCCGUAGAGACCACCAGUCACAGCCAUAGCCAGUAUGUAAGCUACUAAAUGCCUCAUAGCAACAUUAAAUACAGAGAUCAAUUUGUGAGACGACCACUUUAUUAAAUCACCAGGUGUUCAAAACAUUUGAAAAGAAGACUAUGACUGGGAAAUUACUGCUGUGUGUCCGACACCGGGG